CUAUACUAUGGAAGUAGAAGGAGAGAGAGAGAGAGAGAGAGAGAGAGAGAGAGAGAGAGAGAGUACCUGAGCCAUGAGAAGAGAGAAACUCUGGAAUAUGGAGCUACCGAAGAAUAAAGAUUUGGAAACAAAGUAAAUAGCUUCGACUUUUUUGUUGGGAUGUUUAUUUUUAUCUUGUUUUGAUGGGUAACAUGAAUAAUAAUCGCACCAACACUGCAGGUUAAAUAAAGCAGACGUAUUCUCAUCAUAUAAAACAAAAAUUGAUCAAUAAGCUAUCGUUAUGGCGGCGAAUAAAUAAAAA
rnacentral:lncRNA from 1 species